AUGAACGCUGGCGGCGUGCCUCAUACAUGCAAGUCGAGCGAACAGACGAGGAGCUUGCUCCUCUGACGUUAGCGGCGGACGAGUGAGUAACACGUGGAUAACCUACCUAUAAGACUGGGAUAACUUCGGGAAACCGGAGCUAAUACCGGAUAAUAUAUUGAACCGCAUGGUUCAAUAGUGAAAGACGGUUUUGCUGUCACUUAUAGAUGGAUCCGCGCCGCAUUAGCUAGUUGGUAAGGUAACGGCUUACCAAGGCAACGAUGCGUAGCCGACCUGAGAGGGUGAUCGGCCACACUGGAACUGAGACACGGUCCAGACUCCUACGGGAGGCAGCAGUAGGGAAUCUUCCGCAAUGGGCGAAAGCUUGACGGAGCAACGCCGCGUGAGUGAUGAAGGUCUUCGGAUCGUAAAACUCUGUUAUUAGGGAAGAACAAAUGUGUAAGUAACUAUGCACGUCUUGACGGUACCUAAUCAGAAAGCCACGGCUAACUACGUG
rnacentral:rRNA from 1 species